rnacentral:rRNA from 1 species
CCUACGGGUGGCAGCAGUGGGGAAUAUUGCACAAUGGGGGAAACCCUGAUGCAGCGACGCCGCGUGAGUGAAGAAGUACCUCGGUAUGUAAAGCUCUAUCAGCAGGGAAGAAAAUGACGGUACCUGACUAAGAAGCCCCGGCUAACUACGUUCCAGCAGCCGGGGGUACACGUGGGGGGCAAGCGUUAUCCGGAUUUACUGGGGGUAAAGGGAGCGUAGUCGGGAACACAAGUCUGGAGUGAAAUCGCGGGGCUUAAACCCGGAAGUGCUUUGGAAACUGGGCGGCUGGAGUGCAGGAGGGGUAAGCGGAAUGCGUGGUGUAGCGGUGAAAUGCAUAGAUAUUAGGAGGAACUCCGGUGGCGAAGGCAGCUUACCGG